rnacentral:rRNA from 1 species
UCUGGUUGAUCCUGCCAGUAGUCAUAUGCUUGUCUCAAAGAUUAAGCCAUGCACGUGUAAGAUCAUUUGGCAAGGAGCAAUCCUUGUGAACAUUAAUCUGCGGAUGGCUCAAGAUAACAGUUAUAAACUUGGCUAUCAGCCUUUUAUACGGAUAACACCGUCAAAUGCGGUGAUAAUACGUGUCCACAAAACCCGAAAGGGUUGACGAUGUGAUUAUUGGAAGAUAUCGCAUCAGCAGAUAACGGUCUUCGGAUUGUUAUUAUAGACAACGCAAGUUGCCUGGAAGAGGUAUUUCUAACUUAUCAGGUACGUUGUUUCAGUAAGGGUGAAACAAGCCGACCACGAGUACGGCGAAUCAGUGUUCGAUUCCGGAGAGGGAGCCUGAGAGAUGGCUACUACAUCUAAGGAUGGCAGCAGGCGCGAAAAUUACCCAAUACAAAUUCUGUGAGGUAGUGACAAGAUAUAACGACCUUACAUUUUCGCAAUGGAAGGGUACCGUGUUAAAAGCGGUUUGGAAUGUUUCUAGUUCAAAAUCCUAUUAGAGUAACAAUUGGAGGACAAGUCUGGUGCCAGCACCCGCGGUAAUUCCAGCUCCAAAAGCAUAUACUAAAAUUGCUGUAGUUAAAACGCUCGUAGUUGAUAUAAGAAUAGCUUCUGAACAACCUGUCUACUCUUCUCUGUAUAUCAUGGUAGCAAUACCAGAAGUGUACUUAAAAUGGUGACUGUAAAAGCAGGAACUGGGGGGUAGGUCUUAAGGCGUAAUCAAACUGGCUAGCCAAUGUCAGUCUUCUUCCGUUGGUUAGUUGGGCGUAGGUGAAACGGAAGCUGCUGCGAUAUAAACCGUGAACAAAUUAGUGUGCUUAAGGCAAGCAGCGUGAAGAGCCGCCUCUGGUGGUUUCUUUGAGUUUGAAUAAUUUAGCAUGGUACUUCAAAUCCCGCAAGGGAACGAAUAACAGAAGGGAUCAAGGACUCUGGUAUUGCGCGUCUAGAGGUGAAAUUCCGAUAUUUUCGCAAGACGAACGGAGGCGUAAGCGGUCGUGUCCAUUGUGUCUUCAUUGAUCAGGAACGAGAGUCAGGGGAUCGAAGAUGAUUAGAUACCGUCGUAGUCCUGACUGUAAACGAUGCCAACUCAAGUUCAAGUGUGAUACAUAAAUUCGAUCUUCUUGGAAUUGACGGGAAACCAUUAAGUCAUUGGGUUCUGGGGGGAGUAUGGUCGCAAGGCUGAAACUUAAAGGAAUUGACGGAAAGACACCACCAGGAGUGGAGUUUGCGGCUUAAUUCGACCCAACGCGGGAAAACUCACCAGGACAGGAUAGUGUCGAGAUUGACAGGUGAAAGAGUCCUUUCUUGAUUCACUAGUUGGUGGUGCAUGGUCGUUCUUAGUUCGUGGAGUGAUCUGUCUACUUAAUUGUGCCAACGAACGAGACCUUGGCCCUUAAUUAGGUGCUAGGCGGCAGGGGUAACUCUGACGUUCAUUUUUUCGGAAAUCUAGUUCACAAUCCUAUGGAUACUUCUUAAGGGGACAAGACGACGUUGACUAUGACGCAGCGUAAGGAAGAGCA